GUUGCCUCCACGCAUUUCACAUGAUGUAUACCUCGCAGGCUGCAAAGUUAACAGAUCUUAAAACAUACAACAGAAUCAUGCGGAGUGGCGCCCAAAAGCUUCCAGGCGCUUUGGAGUUUUGUCCACCGAUGAUAUCGUUCCCUCCUGUACCACCCCAUCAAAAAACACCUUGGAAGUGCCCCUGUCCACAGAGCCCUUAUAUCCACAGAAGAUGACACCCAGAUACCCUGAGUGUAAAAAGAAGAAGAAGAAGAAUUGCAGCUGCUGGAGCGACCUACCUGCCAAGUACUUCCUGAGAUAAACUAGUAUUAAAGGUCUUUUUCUUCCUGUUGCCUUGGUUCUAUUUAUGAAGUUUAUUCAUAAAUAAAAUCUAUUCAUGUCA